AUACUUACCUGGCAGGAGAGAUACCAUGAUCAUGAAGGUGGUUUCCCAGAGCGAGGCUUAUCCAUUGCACGUGAUUCAAUAAAAUUUAAAUAAAUCACUGUAUUACUGUAUCUC
rnacentral:snRNA from 1 species